rnacentral:lncRNA from 1 species
GACAAUCUAUUUGUAUUCGAUUCCUGUUCAGGUUCGGCCUUCGAUUCCGGUUCCGGUUCAGGUUCCGGCUCAGGUUCAGGUUCCGGCACCGGCUCAGGUUCUGGAGCCUUUUCUACGACCUUUACUUCAACAGCCUCCGCAACCUUAACUUCUUCCUUGACCUCAACAACAGGAACCGAAACUUCCUCUGCUUUGACCGGCUCUACCGAGGCUUCUGGCUGGGGUUGGACCUUAGGAGUCCCCCUU